CGUAUGUCCCGAGCGUUAUCCGGAUUUAUUGGGCGUAAAGCGAGCGCAGACGGUUGGUUAAGUCUGAUGUGAAAGCCCGGAGCUCAACUCCGGAAAGGCAUUGGAAACUGGUCAACUUGAGUGCAGUAGAGGUAAGUGGAACUCCAUGUGUAGCGGUGGAAUGCGUAGAUAUAUGGAAGAACACCAGCGGCGAAGGCGGCUUACUGGACUGUAACUGACGUUGAGGCUCGAAAGUGUGGGGUAGCAAACAGGAUU
rnacentral:rRNA from 1 species